rnacentral:rRNA from 1 species
UACGUAGGCAGCAAGCGUUGUUCGGAAUUACUGGGCGUAAAGAGUGUGUAGGCGGUGCUCCCAGUCUGUUGUGAAAUCUCCCGGCUUAACUGGGAGGGUGCAGCGGAAACUAGAGUGCUAGAGGGUGGGAGAGGUAAGCGGAAUUCCUGGUGUAGCGGUGAAAUGCGUAGAUAUCAGGAGGAACACCUGUGGUGUAGACAGCUUACUGGACCACUUCUGACGCUGAGACACGAAAGCGUGGGGAGCAAACAGG